ACUAAGGACUUACAUUCCUUGGUAAGAGAUCUGAGCACAAGAGCUCAAAAACAAGUUCAGAGGGAGCAUCCUUCAGGCACUGCUAGGCACUUGCCAUUCCGCUUCAAAACACAAAGUUGAUAGGAGACUUUUAAGUUGAACUCACUUUUUUUCUCUCUCUCUCCUCUUUCUCUGUUUCUCUCUGUCUCUCCCCUCCUCUCUUACACACACACACACACACACACACACACACACACACAUGCUUCAUAUUGGAUCUAGAAUUAUUGAAUUUUUUAUUUUUUAUGUUUUUGAAAAUCCGUCAUCACAGUACAUUUGUGAUAUUGAGUUUCCAGGAAAAAGAAAAACAUAUUAUCAGCUUGACAAGAAAAUUGCAUGGCUGUAAAUGUUUUGGUUGAUUAUUUAUGUAAACCUAACAUCUCUGUGUUAAAAAACUGGCAGAACCUCCUAUGUAUUUAUUUAUUUUUACCUAAAAGCUCUCAUCGCAUGGCACUUUUCCUGUUCUUUGUUCCUAGACUGCUGGAGGAAGCAUGCUAUUUUCUUCCUUGUGAAAAUUGGUUCCGUCUUAAGUAUGUCUCUAAAAACAAUUUCCCAUCUAGCAGUGGUAUAAAUGAGAGAUCUUCCCACAGGCUCAUGAAUCCAAUCCUUUGGUUUAGGAGGCGUAGCCUUGCUGGAGGAAGUCCAUCAUGGAGAUGGGGCUGGGGAAGGGGUGCUUUUGUUCAUUGCCUUGUGCCACUUCAGGUCAGCUCUUGGCUUUUCUGUUUUUACAGUUGAAGAUGGCUGACUCAUAUCCCUCUGGAGCCAUGAGUCAAAGUAAACUCUUUCUUCUGUAAGUCUUGUUUGGUUAUGAUAUUUUAUCACAGCAACAGAAGAGUAACUACCCCCACCCCCCACCCCAACACAUACACCUUAAAAAGUUCUGCAAGCUCACUGAACUUCCUGUGGAAAACUUACUUUGACUUUUGAGCACAGACACUAGUCUCAGGCCAGAUAGCAACACUUCCAGAUUUUGCUUGCUCCAGACCUAUAGGCUCCAACACAGUUUCUUCUCCACUUUCUACUUGGCUAGACCAGCGGAUCUCAAUCAGUGGGUCUCCAUCCCUUUGUAGGAUAUCAGAUAUCCUACAUAUAACAUAUUUACAUUAUGAUUCAUAACAGUAGCAAAAUUAUAGUUAUGAACUAGGAACAAAAUAAUAUUGUGGUUGGGGUCAGCACCUCAUGAGGCACUGUAUUAAACGUCACAGCAUUAGGAAGGCUGAGAACCACUGAGCUAGCUGAAGAUUUGAUUAAGAGUAGUGCUCUAUUUACAAAAUCUUGACACAAUCUCUCUUCCCUUCUUAAAAAUUUAUUUUUGCAGUUCAUUUUGUUGUUGUUGUUGUUGUGUGAAUGGGUGAGGAGGUUGCACAGGUGUCCCAGAGCCCAUGUAGAUGUCAGAGGACAGCUUGUGGGAAUUGGUUCACACCUUUCACCAUGUGAGUCCCAGGGAUUGAACUCAACUUGUCAGGCCUGUAGACAACUGUCUACCCACUGAGUCAUCCUAUUGGCUCUCCUACCAAGAUUUUUAUCCUCUUUGGUUGCCAUAUUCACACAGAUUGCUUAUAGUUUGUCCACAGUGGUUGCUCUGUUUCAUCUUUUCAGAAUGGUCUUCCCAUUGUUCUAGAUACUAGGGAACAAAUGAGCAAAUUGAUGAGAUGUGGCAGCAGGCACCAUCACCUCAUUUCAGUUAGGUCUGGUGAGGCAGCUACCAUCACCAAGUAUAUGUGUGUGCAUGUGUCUGCAAACUCAGUGUUUUAUAAAAUUUUGGCAUAGGUAAAAGGCUCAAGACAACUUGGCAGACGAUCAGGUUUUGUAUGUAGAGACUUUGUUCUCCUUCUUCUCUUUUGAAACAAACAAACUUAAAUCUGAGAUACUUUUUGAAAUUUAUGUCUAGUGACCGAACAGUUUUUGUUCUAUGUGCAAGAAACUCUGCUGGCAUUUCUUCAUGAUCCCCUUGUGAUAUAUUUAGUGGUUGUGUGUUCUGAAUGGUAACUGUCCCCCAUUCUCUCUAGCAUUUGAAAAGUUGGUCUCCAGUUGGUGGCACUGUUUGGUGAGGUUCAUAGGUGUGGUCUUGAAGGUUGGUCACUGGAGGUCGACUUUGUGCCAUUUCUAAAGUGCUCUCUCUACUUCUCGUUUGUGGUUUGAGAUGUGACCCCUGUGCUCUCAGCUUCCAGCUCCGUCUACCAUGUCUGCUCCACUUGGCUCUUGUGGACACUAAUCCCCUGUGUGGUGGUUGGAAUAUGCUUGGCCCAGGGAUUAGCACUAUUAGGAGCCUUGCUAGAGUAGGUGUGGCCAUGUUAGAGGAAGUGUGUCACUGUGGGGGUGGGCUUUGAGACCCUCCUCUUAGUCAUGUGGAAUCCAGUCUCCUCCUGUUUGCCUUCAGAUGAAGAUGCUGCCAUGGUGAUAAUGGAUUGAACCUCUGAACCUAUAAGCCAGCCCCAAUUAAACAUUGUCCUUUAUAAGUGUUGCCUUGGCCAUAGUGUCUCUCUUCACAGCAAUGAAACCCAAAGUAAGAUACCCUGGAACCAUAAGUAUC
rnacentral:lncRNA from 1 species